rnacentral:rRNA from 1 species
AUACAUCUCACUCUGCCCUUGCGUGGGGCAUAGCGUAUGGAGCUUACACUAAUUUCGCGGACGUCGUCCCCAUGAAAGCAUGGAACCUUUUGGCCCUCUUGAAUUCAAGUUCCAAUGUCCAAUUAGCAAGGUGACGGGGUAAAGGCCCAUGAAGGGCACUAUCCGUAUUUGGUCCGACAGGACGAUCCAUCACACUGGAUCUGAAACCCGGUCCAGACUCCUACGGGAGGCUUGAUGGGGAAUAUUGGACAAAGGGCGCAAGCCUGAUCCAGCCAUACCGCGUGGGUGAAUAAGGCCUUCGGGUUGUUAAGCCCUUUUGGUGGGAAAUAAAAGGACUCAGCUAAUACCCUGUUGUUCUGACGGUACCCAAACAAUAAGCACC